rnacentral:piRNA from 1 species
UGAAUCCAUAGCACCACUUUGUGAAGA